UAUCCACACAGCAGUUACAGCAUGGGCAGUGGGAGUACAUGCUUCCCCAUGCUGCCUUUCCACUGUGCCUCAUCCUUGACUAGGAGAAUCCAUCUUUAAAGAUA
rnacentral:sRNA from 1 species